GAAUUAAAAUAUUCUUUUUCAAUAUAUGUUUCAUAACAUGAAUAUUCAGUUUACUCAAUUAAUCAACAUGGCUUAUAUAUCUCACAAAACUUGGCUCCUGCCAAAAUCAUUAUCACGGGUACCUUCGUCAAGGUAUCCCACUGAGACCGCCAAGGCUGUUAAAUGUCCCAUACCCAUAAACAUGUUUUCGCAUCUGACACA
rnacentral:lncRNA from 1 species